rnacentral:rRNA from 1 species
GAUUAACGCUAGCGGUAUGCAUAAUACAUGCAAGUCGAACGGGCAGCAAUGUCAGUGGCAAACGGGUGCGUAAUACAUAUUUAAUUUACCCCUUAGCGAGGGAUAACUGAUCGAAAGAUUAGCUAAUACCUCAUAGGAGACAGAAUCAUAUGAUUUUGUCUUUAAAGUUGCGUUUGCAACACUUUGGGAUAAGAGUGUGUCUUAUCAGAUAGUUGGUGAGGUAAUGGCUCACCAAGUCAAUGACGAGUAGCUAUACUGAGAGGUAGAAUAGCCACAAUGGGACUGAGACACGGCCCAUACUCCUACGGGAGGCAGCAGUAGGGAAUUUUUCACAAUGGGCGAAAGCCUGAUGGAGCAAUACCGCGUGAACGAUGAAGGUUUUAGGAUUGUAAAGUUCUUUUAUUAGGGAAGAAUGAUUCAAAUAGGAAAUGAUUUGAAAAUGACUGUACCUGAUGAAUAAGUAACGGCAAACUUCGUGCCAGCAGCCGCGGUAAUACGAAGGUUACAAGCGUUAUCCGGAUUAACUGGGUGUAAAGGGAUGCGUAGGCGGAUAAACAAGUCUGGCGUUAAAUGCUAUUGCUCAAAAAUAGUAUGCGUUGGAAACUGUUUUUCUUAGAGUUAGACAGAGAGUUUUAGAACUCCAUAUGGAGCGGUGGAAUGCGUAGAUAUAUGGAAGAAUACCUGUGGUGAAGACGAAAACUUAGGUCUAUACUGACGCUUAGGCUCGAAAGUGUGGGGAGCAAAUAGGAUUAGAUACCCUAGUAGUCCACACUGUAAACGAUGAUCAUUUUAUAUCUGGACUAAUGUCUGGGUGUAGUAGCUAACGCGUUAAAUGAUCCACCUGAGUAGUACAUUCGCAAGAAUGAAACUCAAACCGGAAUUGACGGGGACCUGCACAAAUGGUGGAGCAUGUUGUUUAAUUCGACAGUACACGCUGAACCUUACCAAGACUUGACAUCUCCCGCAAAGUUAUAGAAAUAUAAUGGAGGCUAACGGGAUGACAGGUGAUGCAUGGUUGUCGUCAGUUCGUGUCGUGAGAUGUUGGGUUAAGUCCCGCAACGAACGCAACCCCUAUCGCUAGUUAAUUUAUCUAACGAGACUGCUAACGCAAGUUAGAGGAAGGUGGGGACGACGUCAAAUCAUCAUGUCCCUUAUGUCUUGGGCUACAAACGUGCUACAAUGGCUAUUACAAACCGUUACCAAACCGCAAGGUGGAGUUAAUCGGAAAAAGAUAGUCUCAGUUCGGAUCGAGGGCUGCAAUUCGCCCUCGUGAAGUUGGAAUCAUUAGUAAUCACGAAUCAGACAUGUCGUGGUGAAUACGUUCUCAGGUCUUGUACACACCGCCCGUCGCACUAUGAGAGCCGUUAAUACUUGAAAGCAUUUAGCUAACCGUAAGGAGGCGAAUGUCUAGGGUAGGAAUGGUGAUUGGAGUU